AGUGAACGCUGGCGGUAGGCCUAACACAUGCAAGUCGAACGGCAGCACAGUAAGCGCUUGCUCUUACGGGUGGCGAGUGGCGGACGGGUGAGGAAUACAUCGGAAUCUACUUUUUCGUGGGUGAUAACGUAGGGAAACUUACGCUAAUACCGCAUACGACCUACGGGUGAAAGCAGGGGAUCUUCGGACCUUUCGCGAUUGAAUGAGCCGAUGUCGGAUUAGCUAGUUGGCGGGGUAAAGGCCCACCAAGGCGACGAUCCGUAGCUGGUCUGAGAGGAUGAUCAGCCACACUGGAACUGAGACACGGUCCAGACUCCUACGGGAGGCAGCAGUGGGGAAUAUUGGACAAUGGGCGCAAGCCUGAUCCAGCCAUACCGCGUGGGUGAAGAAGGCCUUCGGGUUGUAAAGCCCUUUUGUUGGGAAAGAAAAGCAGCAGGUUAAUACCCCGCUGUUCUGACGGUACCCAAAGAAUAAGCACCGGCUAACUUCGUG
rnacentral:rRNA from 1 species